AUACCAACAAGAGUGUUCGAAGCCCCACAGAAUUCAAAGAUACUUGGAGUUUACCACAGUGUGUGCAUUUGCCAAUCAAAGUAAAUGAGUUAGGAUAGCCAGUAGGAAAAAAUGUGUAUGAAUUUUCUAAUUUUCUUGAAACAAUUGCUCGAAGGGGUGGUUUGGCAUCAAUAAACUAUCUAGAUUAGAGGACCAUGCCAUA
rnacentral:lncRNA from 1 species